rnacentral:rRNA from 1 species
AACGAACGCUGGCGGCAGGCCUAACACAUGCAAGUCGAACGAAGGCCCGGAGCUUGCUCCGGAUCCCUUAGUGGCGCACGGGUGAGUAACGCGUGGGAACCAACCUUGGAGCGGGGAAUAACUAUUGGAAACGAUAGCUAAUACCGCAUACGCUCUUCGGAGGAAAGGCUUCGGCCACUCCAAGACGGUCCCGCGUCUGAUUAGCUAGUUGGUAAGGUAAUGGCUUACCAAGGCGACGAUCAGUAGCUGGUCUGAGAGGAUGAUCAGCCACACUGGAACUGAGACACGAUCCAG